CAACAAUACAGCUUGAUGUUGUAGAAGCAGAGACAGAAGAGCUAACUGGAGGAAAUGGGCUUCUCCGAGCCAAGAGAACCACCAAGCGAUUAUCUGUGACAUCACUUCCUUCAGGGCUGCAGAAGGCACAAUAUUCAUCAAAAAAGAGACCACACUUCCCAGCACUUAAAAAGAAGAAGCGGCGCAUGGAAGCCAUUCUCCAGAAAUCAGAGCUGACCGUAGGCAAGCUUCAAAUGUGGAUGACCUCAUAGAAACAGUGACUGACAAAUCCAUGAAGCUUCUGGAACAAAGGCACGCUGAGCUUAAGCAGUGUGAGUUUCUAGGGGCUGAGAUCCUUCAGUCUUCGAAGCAAUUCCAAAGGCUUUCCAAGAGAACCACAAGGAAGUAUAAGCUGCGAAGAGCAUGCUUCCCAUGCACCUGCUGCUGCUGCUGAGUUCCCAGUAGCUCAGCUACAAAGGGGAGGGACCCUGUCUCAAACAGGGUAGACAAGCAGCAGCCAACACUGUCUGUCGUCUGAAUCUAACCACAUGCUGCAGCAGGUGCACGCCCUCAUACAUAAGCAUGUAAACAUAUGCCAUGCAUGCAUGUUCCCAAAUAAGUAUUUUUUAAAAAGAUUCUUCAAAACAAAAUGAUAGAAGCAUUUACCAACCACAUUCCUCAAGGACUAAGAGAGAGCUGUAGAAAAGCAACACAGAUGGACUGAUUUCAUACGACAGUCAUUCUUAACAGUGUGAAAGCUUCCCCUACAAUAAACACACACCAUAAGUACUCAUAUGGCCCUCUAAAGCCUACUCAUGAACUCCAUUUUCUCAAGUUUUACUAACAUCUUCUAGAAAUCUAUUCAUUUUCUCAUGUGUAUCCCAAACGCCAUCUUAGAUAGUCCUUACCUGAUUUGCUAAGGCAAGUGUUAGCAGCUACCUAGAGUUUUGAAUGAGCACAAAGAUCCACCUUGAGACAUUUUAUUAAAUAUUUUCAGAUGCUGAUUUCUAUGUUUAAGGAUAAAAAUGUAUUUAAAAAAUACAUAUAUAUGGGAUACAUUUCCGUUCUGUGAAGAAAUAUGAAUGACACGAAUACUUGAAAGCAAAGUACUUCAAUGCUGAAAUUGAAAUAUCCCAAAAGUACAACACACUGAACCCAGGAAGCCCAUGCAGCUAUUCGCUGUCCCUGUAAAUGGCGACGGUCAGCCCAUCUAUGGCUUAGGGUCUGCUUCCAUGGUGCUUUCUUGAGCUUCCUCCACCUCUGACAGCUUGUCAUCAUCUGUAGUUAAGAAGACACAGAACCUUACUCCAUGUCACCUACAUUUUGUGCCUAGUAAUGCAUGAGAAGUUUUAUUUUGCAUUAGCAAAUAUGGUUAUGUAUGCAGCCCCUCUGCAACCCCCCCAACGUAACUGUUAUAUUUGAUUAUUUUUACAUAUUAUUAAGAGCAUAUAAUUUGUGUGAUAGAUUUCAUUAAAAACAAAGGAACUA
rnacentral:lncRNA from 1 species